UGACGUGACAUGAUGCUGUAUGCGCGUUCUCGACGGCGCUGGGCUUAGAUUCAGGAAGAAGACGAGCGCGGUGGAUCCAAACUUCUGUUUGGGUAGACAUGGAUUCUUCCACAGCCGGCAAACGACCCAGCGCCACUCAAAGCCCACUAAAAAGUGCUACCAAGAAGAAAACGAAGCCUUUAUCAGAGACAAGUCGCGAGUCGAAAAGAAAUUACGAGUUAACACGGAUAAGCAAACGAGUAAACAUUGGAUAUGCGUUUGAGUCAUGGAGGCAGCUUCAACUUGAACUGGGACUGAAAACAGAUGCUGACAUGGCUCAUUUCCUACUGACCAGAUAUAAGAAGAAGGACCCCCCUGAAGCAGCUACUCUGGGAAGUAUGGAGAGGAAAGUCUCAACACCCAGCAAGGGAAAAGCUGCUAAACUCUGUCAUCGGUUAUCUCCAAUUGAACCUGUGUCUGAGGGGAGGCAAUGAGUGAGGACCAAGCUUUGGAUCCUUUGGAAGAAAGUUUCAAAUCCAUGGAUCUUGCAGUGGAUGCUAUUAUACUGGAUGAGGAACGAGCGAACAACUUGCUCAACAGUGUGUCAACUUCAGAACUGGAGAGUUUCCAGAACUGCAUCUUGAUGUAUGCUGGAAAAAGGUUUGCCUUCUCUCCUCCGGUUUAUGAAGCAAGGUGUCUUCUCGCUGCUUUAGAUUACAACCACCACAAUCACCGACCAGAUUACAUUGACCGGAAUAAUGAGUUAUC